rnacentral:rRNA from 1 species
AUUGAACGCUGGCGGCAGGCCUAACACAUGCAAGUCGAGCGAGCGGCGGACGGGUGAGUAAUGUCUGGGAAACUGCCUGAUGGAGGGGGAUAACUACUGGAAACGGUAGCUAAUACCGCAUACCAUCAGAUGUGGCCAGAUGGGAUUAGCUGGUAGGUGGGGUAACGGAUCACCUAGGCGACGAUCCCUAGCUGGUCUGAGAGGAUGACCAGGCACAAUGGAACUGAGACACGGUCCAGACUCCUACGGGAGGCAGCGGUGGGGAAGAUUACACAAUGGGCGCAAGCCUGAUGCAGCCAUGCCGCGUGUGUGAAGAAGUCCGUCGGGUUGUAAAGCACUUUCAGCGGGGAAGCGUUACCCGCAGAAGAAGCACCGGCUAACUCCGUGCCAGCAGCCGCGGUAAUUC